CACCGACUACUUCCUGGCUCCCUGAUGGGAAGCUUCCGGAUGCUGGUUUGCAACGUUCUUGAAGAGUUAAAGAUGAAGUGGAACCAGACGUCCAAGAAUUGGAGACGAAUUGGAGAUGAUGAAGAUCGAGACGAUGACGACGAUGAUGUUGAUGAAGAUGGAAAUGGUGAAACGUCUCAUCCUGUCCAUGGAUUAAGAGCUAUGUAAUGAACAUGUGGUCUUCUAGUGUCCAUUAGUACAACAUGUGAGAUUGGACACUGGAGCAUACAUACCAGACCAUACUGG
ensembl:lncRNA